CUAUGCGCCUUGCCAGCCCGCUCAGGUGUGCCAGCCGCCGCGGUAAUACGGAGGAUGCGAGCGUUAUCCGGAUUUAUGGUUAAAGGGUGCGUAGGCGGAUUUUAAGUCAGCGGUAAAAUUGCGGGGCUCAACCCCGUCGAGCCGUUGAAACUGUCAGACUUGAGUUGGCGAGAAGUACGCGGAAUGCGCGGUGUAGCGGUGAAAUGCAUAGAUAUCGCGCAGAACUCCGAUUGCGAAGGCAGCGUACCGGCGCCACACUGACGCUGAGGCACGAAAGCGUGGGGAUCGAACAGG
rnacentral:rRNA from 1 species